GGAGCGGCCGUGACCCUGCUGGAGUCCGGGGGGACCUCCAGCCCCCCGGGGGGUCCCUGCGCCUCCUCUGCCGCGCCUCGGGCUUCGAUUUCGGCGGUUUUUACAUGUACUGGGUGCGCCAGAGACCCGGGCAGGGGCUGCAAUUCGUCGCGGGGAUCAACAACGGUGGUGCUUACACCGCGUACGCGCCGUCGGUGCGGGGCCGGUUCAGGAUCUCCAGGGCCAACGGGCAGAGCUCGGUGACGCUGACCAUGAACGGCCUCAAGGACGAGGAUUCUGGCUCCUGUUUCUGUGCCAAACGUGCUGAUGGUUACGGUGCUGCUCCUAAUCCCCGAGUCGAUCCCCGCGUCCCCUCCUGUCCCCGUGUCCCACACCCUUCCCCAACCCUCAACCCCUGA